ensembl:lncRNA
GAGGGUUGACCAUAAUAUUCCCAAUACCCACUUUCUUAGAUACCUGCAAACUUGCAGCUGUGCCAAAAAAAAACAAUUUCCCCUCAUUUCCAUUGGAGCCCACUAAGUGUCAAGUCGAGAGGUGCUUAGAUCUUAACCCUUAUCUGAAGGGCACAAUUUCCCCUCAUUUCCAUUGCAGUCCACUAAGUGUCAAGUCGAGAGGUGCUUAGAUCUUAACCCUUAUCUGAAGGGCACAAUUUCCCCUCAUUUCCAUUGGAGUCCACUAAGUGUCAAGUCGAGAGGUGCUUAGAUCUUAACCCUUAUCUGAAGGGCACAAUUUCCCCUCAUUUACAUUGGAGCCCACUAAGUGUCAAGUCGAGAGGUGCUUAGAUCUUAACCCUUAUCUGAAGGGCACAAUUUCCAGAUUAUACAACAUAAUAC